rnacentral:rRNA from 1 species
GGAGCAAACCUCAGAAAGCCAAUCUCAGUUCGGAUUGUAGGCUGCAACUCGCCUACAUGAAGUUGGAAUCGCUAGUAAUCGCGAAUCAGAAUGUCGCGGUGAAUACGUUCCCGGGCCUUGUACACACCGCCCGUCACACCACGAGAGUUUACAACACCCGAAGUCAGUGGCCUAACCGCAAGGAGGGAGCUGCCUAAGGGUGGGGUAGAUGAUUGGGGUGAAGUCGUAACAAGGUAAC